rnacentral:rRNA from 1 species
GACGAACGCUGGCGGCGUGCUUAACACAUGCAAGUCGAGCGGGUAAGGCCCGUUUCGGGGGUACACGAGCGGCGAACGGGUGAGUAACACGUGGGUGACCUGCCCUCAGCUCUGGGAUAAGCCUGGGAAACUGGGUCUAAUACCGGAUAUGACUCCAUGGCGCAUGUUGUGGGGUGGAAAGCCUUGUGCGGCUGAGGAUGGGCCCGCGGCCUAUCAGUCUUGGUUGGGUGGGGUGAUCGGCCUACCAAGGCGACGACGGGUAGCCGGCCUGA